CCUACGGGUGGCAGCAGUCGAGAAUCAUUCACAAUGGGGGAAACCCUGAUGGUGCGACGCCGCGUGGGGGAAUGAAGGUCUUAGGAUUGCAAACCCCUGUUAUGUGGGAGCAAAUUAAAAAGAUCGUACCACAAGAGGAAGAGACGGCUAACUCUGUGCCAGCAUCCGCGGUAAUACAGGGGUCUCAAGCGUUGUUAGGAAUCACUUGGCGUAAAGCGUGCGUCUGCUGUUUCGUAGGUCGUGUGUGAAAGGCGCGGGCUCAACCCGCGGAGGGCACAGGGUCCUGGGAGACUAGAGUAAUGGGGAGGGAACCGGAAUUCUCGGUGUAGCAGUGAAAUGCGUAGAUAUCGAGAGGAACACUCGUGGCGAAGGCGGGGUCCUGGACAUUAACUGACGCUGAGGCACGAAGGCCAGGGGAGCGAAAGGGAUUAGAUACCCUUGUAGUC
rnacentral:rRNA from 1 species